rnacentral:rRNA from 1 species
CCUACGGGUGGCAGCAGUGGGGAAUAUUGCACAAUGGGGGAAACGCUGAAGCAGCAACGCCGCGUGAGGGAAGGAGUAUUUCGGUAGGUAAAGCUCUAUCAGCAGGGAAGAGAAUGACGGUACCUGACUAAGAAGCCCGGGCUAACUACGUGACAGCAGCCGCGGUAAGACGUAGGGGGCGAGGUUCAUCCGGGGUUACGGGGUGUAAGGGGAGCGUAGACGGUUUGGAAAGUCUGAGGUGAAAGCCCGUGGCUUAACCGCGGAACGGCCUUUGAAACUGUGGAACUGGAGUGCUGGAGAGGCAAGCGGAAUUUCUGGUGUAGCGGUGAAAUGCAUAGAUAUUACGCGGAACACCAGUUGCGAAGGCAGCUUGCUGGACCGCAACUGACGUUGAGGCUCGAAAGCGUGGGGAGCAAACAGGAUUAGAUACCCGGGUAGUC